GAUGAACGCUGGCGGCGUGCCUAAUACAUGCAAGUCGAGCGAACGGACGAGAAGCUUGCUUCUCUGAUGUUAGCGGCGGACGGGUGAGUAACACGUGGAUAACCUACCUAUAAGACUGGGAUAACUUCGGGAAACCGGAGCUAAUACCGGAUGAUAUUUUGAACCGCAUGGUUCAAAAGUGAAAGACGGUCUUGCUGUCACUUAUAGAUGGAUCCGCGCUGCAUUAGCUAGUUGGUAAGGUAACGGCUUACCAAGGCAACGAUGCAUAGCCGACCUGAGAGGGUGAUCGGCCACACUGGAACUGAGACACGGUCCAGACUCCUACGGGAGGCAGCAGUAGGGAAUCUUCCGCAAUGGGCGAAAGCCUGACGGAGCAACGCCGCGUGAGUGAUGAAGGUCUUCGGAUCGUAAAACUCUGUUAUUAGGGAAGAACAUAUGUGUAAGUAACUGUGCACAUCUUGACGGUACCUAAUCAGAAAGCCACGGCUAACUAUGUG
rnacentral:rRNA from 1 species